GAUGAACGCUGGCGGCGUGCCUAAUACAUGCAAGUAGAACGCUGAAGGAAGGAGCUUGCUCUUUCCGGAUGAGUUGCGAACGGGUGAGUAGCGCGUAGGUAACCUGCCUGGUAGCGGGGGAUAACUAUUGGAAACGAUAGCUAAUACCGCAUAACAGUAGAUGUUGCAUGAUAUCUACUUAAAAGGUGCAAUUGCACCACUACCAGAUGGACCUGCGUUGUAUUAGCUAGUUGGUGAGGUAACGGCUCACCAAGGCGACGAUACAUAGCCGACCUGAGAGGGUGAUCGGCCACACUGGGACUGAGACACGGCCCAGACUCCUACGGGAAGCAGCAGUAGGGAAUCUUCGGCAAUGGACGGAAGUCUGACCGAGCAACGCCGCGGGAGUGAAGAAGGUUUUCGGAUCGUAAAGCUCUGUUGUAAGAGAAGAACGAGUGUGAGAGUGGAAAGUUCACACUGUGACGGUAUCUUACCAGAAAGGGACGGCUAACUACGUG
rnacentral:rRNA from 1 species